GUGGGGAAUAUUGGGCAAUGGGCGAAAGCCUGACCCAGCAACGCCGCGUGAAGGAAGAAGGUUUUCGGAUCGUAAACUUCUAUCCUUGGUGAAGAUAAUGACGGUAGCCAAGAAGGAAGCCCCGGCUAACUACGUGCCAGCAGCCGCGGUAAUACGUAGGGGGCAAGCGUUGUCCGGAAUGAUUGGGCGUAAAGGGCGCGUAGGCGGCCCGGGAAGUCUGAAGUGAAAGUCCUGCUUUUAAGGUGGGAAUUGCUUUGGAUACUGUCGGGCUUGAGUGCAGGAGAGGUAAGCGGAAUUCCCGGUGUAGCGGUGAAAUGCGUAGAGAUCGGGAGUAACACCAGUGGCGAAGGCGGCUUACUGGACUGUAACUGACGCUGAGGCGCGAAAGUGUGGGGAGCAAACAGGAUUAGAAACCCCUGUAGUCC
rnacentral:rRNA from 1 species